rnacentral:tRNA from 1 species
GGGCGCGUGGUGGAAUGGUAUACACGAGGGACUUAAAAUCCCUUGGCUUCGGCCUUGCAGGUUCGAGUCCUGCCGCGCCCACCA